GACGAACGCUGGCGGCGUGCCUAAUACAUGCAAGUCGAGCGGACUUUCAAGAAGCUUGCUUUUUGAAAGUUAGCGGCGGACGGGUGAGUAACACGUGGGCAACCUGCCUGCAAGACGGGGAUAACUCCGGGAAACCGGGGCUAAUACCGGAUAAUAUCUUCCUUCGCAUGAAGGAAGGGUGAAAGGCGGCGCAAGCGACCGCUUGCAGCUGGGCCCGCGGCGCAUUAGCUCGUUGGUGAGGUAAAGGCUCACCAAGGCGACGAUGCGGAGCCGAGCUGAGAGGGUGAUCGGCCAAACUGGGACUGAGACACGGCCCAGACUCCUACGGGAGGCAGCAGUAGGGAAUCUUCCGCCAUGGACGAAAGUCUGACGGAGCAAAGCCGCGUGAGCGAAGAAGGUCUUCGGAUCGUAAAGCUCUGUUGUCAGGGAAGAACAAGUACCGUUCGAACAGGGCGGUACCUUGACGGUACCUGACCAGAAAGCCACGGCUAACUACGUG
rnacentral:rRNA from 1 species